rnacentral:rRNA from 1 species
AGUGAACGCUGGCGGUAGGCCUAACACAUGCAAGUCGAACGGCAGCACAGUAAGAGCUUGCUCUUACGGGUGGCGAGUGGCGGACGGGUGAGGAAUACAUCGGAAUCUACUUUUUCGGGGGGGAUAACGUAGGGAAACUUACGCUAAUACCGCAUACGCCCUACGGGUGAAAGCAGGGGAUCUUCGGACCUUGCGCGAUUGGAUGAGCCGCUGACGUGUUGGAUAGUUGGGGGGGUAAAGGCCAACCAAGGCGACGAUUCGUAGCUGGAGUGAGAGGCUGGUCGCCGACAUUGGAACGGGAACAGCGACCAGACUCCUGAGGGAGGGAGCAGUGGGGAAUAGUGGGCAAUAGGGGGAAGUCUUGUCCAGCCAGCCGGCGUGGGUUACGGAGGCCUCGGGGGUGGAAAGCCCUUUUGUUGGGAGAGAAAAGCAGCAGGUUAAUACGACGCGGUUCUGACGGUACCGAAAGAAGAAGCACCGGCUAACUUCGUG